GGGCCCGUAGCUCAGUUGGUAGAGCACCGGUUUUGCACUCCGGAGGUCAGCGGUUCAAAUCCGCUCGGGUCCACCA
rnacentral:tRNA from 1 species